rnacentral:tRNA from 1 species
UGCCCUAUGGUGUAAUUGACAGCACAGGUGGCUCUGAACCAUCUAGUCGAGGUUUGAAUCCUUGUGGGGCAGC